CUCUGGUAUAAAUUUUCAUCUUUCUGUGUUUGAUUCUGGCUCAAUAUAAACGUUAUCUGGGUAUUUAAAACAUGCUAAUAUAACGAUGAGUUUUUGUUGUGUUCGGAGAGUAUCAAUAAAAGUAAACAUUCGCUAAAAAUAUGAAAAAACAUAUAGUAAACAACCAGUUUCUUAUAAGAUUUAUAAUUAUUUUGUGUUUUGCUUUUAUAGGAUUAGAUAGUUGAUUAGCUGUAAAUUUUUCAAGUCAAUGAUCCUUAGCAGUUUUUUUCGAUCUUUCUGCCUCAAUAGCGCCGCUAUAUUCUUUUUGGGAAUCAGCAGUUAGGAAUAUUGAACAAUAAAAUAACUUUUGAUUCAGUGACUUAGAUUAGAGUCUUUAUGCGUGUUUGUAUUUUGAUCUAUUAAAAGAAAAAAUUGAUUUCGAACAGUUUUAAAGCUUACGAUUAAUGCUGAUAAAUCAAGUGCCAGAAGUCUCGGUAAUGCCUGAAGCAUGAACGUUAUAUUAUUUAUUAGAUUUAAAUUGUAAAAAGGAAGGAUCGCAAGCUUUUAAACAAAACCCAAUAAGUGGGGUUAUGAAAAGAAACUACGAUUCUUUAAUGUUAUUAAAGGGAUUAGAAUAAAAAAUUUAACGUUAAAAUGUUUCGAUUCUUUUUAGAAUUUCAAAGGUUAAAACAAACCCCUAAAUAAAAACAUCAAUUCUUUGGUUACGAAAGCUUAAGUAUCGAAAGGAAUUAGAGACUCCUGUAGUUUAAGCUGUCAAUAAAAACCGUGUUUUCCAUAAUCAAUAUUGGUAAAAGAAUAAAGAUAGUUCGGUUAAUCUAAAAAGUAUAACCGCAAGGUUGAAAUUUAAAGAUUCAGACGAGAAAGAAGCUCCGUUUGUGGGUUGUGUUAUUUAAUUCGAUAAAACGCGCAAAUCUUACCAAAACUUGCAAUUUAUUCAGCUAAUAAGAUAUCUUAUAUUUUUCGAUUAAACAGUUGUUGCAUGGUUGUCGUCAGUUCUUAUUUUAUAACGUUCAGUUUAUUCUGUUAAAGAACGAAACUUUUUUUUUAAGGUAAAAAAACCUAAAAAAAUGUUUUGAUAAAAAACACAAAAAAAAAUGACUUCUAAAUCCUUAUGACGCUAAUGUUUUGGGCUUUUAAUGCGAUACAAUAUAAGAGAAUAAAACAUUAAAAUUUAUUUAAAGCUAUAAAAUUUAAACGAAAAUCUUAUUUUGUUCAGAUUGCUUUUUGAAACUCAAAAACAUAAAGAAGGAAUAAACAGUAAUGAUUGGUUAUUCAGCGGUCAUGAAACUUUCUAUUUCUUUCUAUACUUUUCGCCCGUCGCUUCUUGAGAUCAAAUUCUAACAAGCUGAAAUAGAGGGUAAAGCUCAGUAUUUUAUUAUCUCAAAGUUUUUCUAGCUUUUUCAUACGUUAGUUUUUGAGAUUAUGAAUAAGUCGUAACAAAGUAAUCGUAGAUGAAUCUGUGGUUGGAAUAAG
rnacentral:rRNA from 1 species